rnacentral:rRNA from 1 species
UGGGGAAUAUUGGACAAUGGGCGAAAGCCUGAUCCAGCCAUGCCGCGUGUGUGAAGAAGGUCUUCGGAUUGUAAAGCACUUUAAGUUGGGAGGAAGGGCAUUAACCUAAUACGUUAGUGUUUUGACGUUACCGACAGAAUAAGCACCGGCUAACUCUGUGCCAGCAGCCGCGGUAAUACAGAGGGUGCAAGCGUUAAUCGGAAUUACUGGGCGUAAAGCGCGCGUAGGUGGUUUGUUAAGUUGGAUGUGAAAUCCCCGGGCUCAACCUGGGAACUGCAUUCAAAACUGACUGACUAGAGUAUGGUAGAGGGUGGUGGAAUUUCCUGAGUAGCGGUGAAAUGCGUAGAUAUAGGAAGGAACACCAGUGGCGAAGGCGACCACCUGGACUAAUACUGACACUGAGGUGCGAAAGCGUGGGGAGCAAACA